UCUUUUCCCCUCCCUCUGUCCUGUGCUGCCUCCUCUCCCAGAUGUGGGUUCAGCCCUGCCCGAUGGUGCCCCUUGGCACCAAGAUAACGCUGAGAGCCAGUGCCAACCCCACAGGGGCUGUUGUGGCUGGCUGGGCUGUGGCCCAGGGGGUCUCAGCUGCCUGCAGGUCCCCUCAGCCUCUCCUCUCCUUCCACCCCAGGCUGCCGAGUGCACCCACCCCACAGAGCCCAGGAAAUGUCAGCCCUGGGCCCUGAGACUUCUGUGCCACGAUGGGGAAGGAAAUCCAAGAGCCAAAUUCUUCAGUCCAGGAAGAAACACUGAACACCUACGGCCAUCCAGAGAAACAGUGCAAAUGGGGGUCCUACAGAACCGAGUCAGACUGGAGAACAUCCCCCAAGGUGCCUGUUCUCGCUCUGAGUGUGUCCCUGGGGAUCCUCACCUUCAGCCUGCUCAUGGCACUGACUGGUGAGUCCCACCCAGGCACCCUCACGGGGAGGAUUCCAGGACCUUCCUGGCAUCAAGGGAGGCUCCCAAAUUCUCAGUGUGAGAUGCCAGUUCUCUGAGCCGGAAUUCUCCCACGUGUGCCCAGACACCUGGCCUGGUUUCCAAGGAAAAUGUUAUUAUUUUUCUGAGGCUGAGGGCAACUGGAGCACGGGCCGGGCAAGGUGUGAGGCCCUGGGAGCUUCCCUGGCCACCAUAAGCACCAGGGAGGAACUGGCCUUCCUUCUGCGCUAUAAAGGCGAAGCAAACCACUGGAUCGGGCUGGGAAUGAGGGAUAACGGCUGGGAGUGGAUCAAUGGCACGGCCUUGAACGGCAGGUUUGAGGUGAGGGGUGGAGGACCCUGUGGGUACCUGAACUAUGGGUGGAUCAGCUCGUCCCUGUGCCACACGGAGAAGAACUGGAUCUGCAGCCGCCCCAAUGACUAUGUCCUGUGGAAGGGGAAAUUAAGAGACCCCAAAACAGAGUUUCACCCUAGAUCUCCAACCAGAUGAGGGAGCUUCACCCCAGCACUGCAACUGGAACUGCUGAGGAAACAUCUCAGUUGUCUGGUUGGGAAAUUUUCGCUGAAUAUCUCAAAAAUAUCUUGUAUUGGAAAGCACCUCACAAGGAUCAUCGAGUCCAACCCUCAGUCCUGCCCAGGCCCAUCCCCAGGAGUCAC